GACGAACGCUGGCGGCGUGCUUAACACAUGCAAGUCGAACGGACAGGCCCUGCUUUUGUGGCGUGCUCGAGUGCCGCACGGGUGAGUAACACGUGAGUAUCAUGCCCUUGACUUUGGGAUAACUUCAGGAAACUGGGGCUAAUACCGGAUAUGACAUCCUGCUGCAUGGUGGGGGUUGGAAAGAUUCGGCGGUAGUGGAUCGUCUCGCGGCUUAUCCGCCUGUUGGUGGGGUAGGGGCUUUCCAAGGCUUUGACGGGUAGCCGGCAUGGGAGGGGGACCGGCGACAUGAGGCCUGAGAGAGGGCCCAGAAGCGUAUGUGAGGCAGUAGGGGGAAAUAUUGCAGAACAGGCGGAAGCGAGAGGCGACGGUCUUGGGAGCGUAAAGAUGUGUUUCGGGGGGUAAACCAAUGUCGACGGUAAUAAGGCGGUAUUGACGGUAACGAGUAAGAAAGCAACGGCUAACUACGUG
rnacentral:rRNA from 1 species